AGUGAACGCUGGCGGCAGGCCUAACACAUGCAAGUCGAGCGGAUGAAGGGUGCUUGCUCCUGGUUUCAGCGGCGGACGGGUGAGUGAUGCCUAGGAAUCUGCCUGUCUAUGGUUUCUAACGUCCUGAAACGGGCACUAAUACCCCAUACCUCCUUACGACGUAAGGGGGGAAUCUUCGGACCUCACGCUCUCACAUGAUUCUAUGUCGGAUUAGCUAGUUGGUGGGGUAAAGGCCUACCAAGGCGACGAUCCGUAACUGGUCUGAGAGGAUGAUCAGUCACACUGGAACUGAGACACGGUCCAGACUCCUACGGGAGGCAGCAGUGGGGAAUAUUGGACAAUGGGCGAAAGCCUGAUCCAGCCAUGCCGCGUGUGUGAAGAAGGUCUUCGGAUUGUAAAGCCCUUUUGGUUGGGAGGAAGGGCAGUAAGUUAAUACCUUGCUGUUUUGACGGUACCAAAAGAAUAAGCACCGGCUAACUUCGUG
rnacentral:rRNA from 1 species